rnacentral:rRNA from 1 species
GCUUGUCUCAAAGAUUAAGCCAUGCAUGUCUAAGUAUAAACAACUUUAUACUGUAAAACUGCGAACGGCUCAUUAUAUCAGCAAUAAUUUAUUUGAUGGUUUCUUACCCCAUGGAUAACUGUGGUAAUUCUAGAGCUAAUACAUGCGUCAAGACCCGACUUUUUGGAAGGGUUGUAUUUAUUAGAUAAAGAACCAAUCCAUGCUUGCAUGGUUUUGUGGUGAUUCAUAAUAACUGAUCGAAUCGCAUGCCUUCGGGCGGCGAUGUAUCAUUCAAGUUUCUGACCUAUCAGCUUCCGACGGUAGGGUAUUGGCCUACCGUGGCAAUGACGGGUAACGGGGAAUUAGGGUUCGAUUCCGGAGAGGGAGCCUGAGAAACGGCUACCACAUCUAAGGAAGGCAGCAGG